rnacentral:rRNA from 2 species
CAAAAACAUCGCCUCCUGCAAAAACCGACGUAUAGGAGGUCCUGCCUGCCCAGUGACUAUAAGUUAAACGGCCGCGGUAUUCUGACCGUGCAAAGGUAGCGCAAUCACUUGUCUUUUAAAUGAAGACCUGUAUGAAUGGUGGAACGAGGGCUUAACUGUCUCCCCCUUCUAGUCAAUGAAAUUGAUCUACCCGUGCAGAAGCGGGUAUAAUAAUACAAGACGAGAAGACCCUUUGGAGCUUAAGAUAAAAGACCAACUAUGUCAAAAGUCCUAAACUUAAAACUAAACCAAAUAGCACUGGUCCCAAUCUUCGGUUGGGGUGACCGCGGGAGAAAACAAAGCUCCCACGCGGACUGGGGUAAUCCCCUAGAACUAAGAGAGACAUCUCUAAGUCACAGAAUAUCUGACCAAAAAGAUCCGGCUACAUGCCGACCAACGGACCAAGUUACCCUAGGGAUAACAGCGCAAUCCCCUUCCAGAGUCCAUAUCGACAAGGGGGUUUACGACCUCGAUGUUGGAUCAGGACAUCCUAAUGGUGCAGCCGCUAUUAAGGGUUC